UCCGAGUAGAGCGGCGCACGGGUGCGUAACACGUGGGUAAUCUGCCUCAGGGUUGAGGAUAGCUUUCUGAAAGGAAAGCUAAUACUCGGUAAGCUUACGGAUUCUUCGGAGUCUGUGAGAAAACUAGACCUCUAUUUAUAAGUUUAGGCCCAGAGAUGAGCCCGCGGCCCAUCAGCUAGUUGGUGAGGUAAUGGCUCACCAAGGCUCCGAUCGGUAGCUGUUCUGAGAGGAAGAUCAGCCACACUGGGACUGAGACACGGCCCAGACUCCUACGGGAGGCAGCAGUUGGGAAUCUUGGACAAUGGGGGAAACCCUGAUCCAGCCAUGCCGCGUGAGUGAUGAAGGCCUUCGGGUUGUAAAACUCUUUCGACGGGGACGAUAAUGACGGUACCCGUAGAAGAAGCUCCGGCUAACUUCGUGCCAGCAGCCGCGGUAAUACGAAGGGGGCUAGCGUUGUUCGGAAUUACUGGGCGUAAAGCGCGCGCAGGUGGUCUUCCAAGUCAGUGGUGAAAGCCCGGAGCUCAACUCCGGAACUGCCAUUGAAACUGUGAGACUUGAG
rnacentral:rRNA from 1 species